UACGUAGGGUGCGAGCGUUGUCCGGAAUUACUGGGCGUAAAGAGCUCGUAGGUGGUUUGUCGCGUUGUUCGUGAAAACUCACAGCUCAACUGUGGGCGUGCGGGCGAUACGGGCAGACCGGAGUACUGCAGGGGAGACUGGAAUUCCUGGUGUAGCGGUGAAAUGCGCAGAUAUCAGGAGGAACACCGGUGGCGAAGGCGGGACUCUGGGCCGAUACUGACGCUGAGGAGCGAAAGCGUGGGGAGCAAACAGG
rnacentral:rRNA from 1 species